UACGAACCGUACAAACGUUAUUCGGAAUCACUGGGCUUAAAGGGUGCGUAGGCGGCCACGUAAGUGAGAUGUGAAAUCCCUCGGCUCAACCGAGGAAGUGCAUUUCAUACUGCAUGGCUUGAGGGAGACAGGGGUAAGCGGAACUGAUGGUGGAGCGGUGAAAUGCGUUGAUAUCAUCAGGAACACCGGUGGCGAAAGCGGCUUACUGGGUCUCUUCUGACGCUGAGGUACGAAAGCUAGGGUAGCGAACGGG
rnacentral:rRNA from 1 species